GUAAACUCUGAGAGCUACGGAGAGGGCGGGACGAGCGGGCGCGGGGACAGAGAUCCCACCCAGGGUAGCAAAUCUCCGGCACAUAGCCUCGGACAGACCGGAGGACGCGGCUUGGUUACUCUCGGAGGGACCGAAGGGCUGUACAGCUGACUUGCUGUUACAAGGUGGGUUCCUUCUGGACAGAAGAGGCGGAGCAUUGUGGGCAUGGCCAAGAAUGGCGCACCGCCCUUCGCUGCUGCCCCCUCGGCUCUGCUUUCUGAUCACCGUGAGGUCUUCAGAUCUCCAGGAACUGUACUUGACUGUGCCUAAGAAACCUCAUAAGCACUGGCAGCUGAUUAGAUGGCAAAAUAUCAACUUUGAGCUGAUGCAAUAAUGGAUGAGACUCUGAGGAUCUUGAAGAGAUUUCUGGAGGCUGGGAAAUCCAAGAUCAAGGGGCUGGCCUCCGGAGAGCAUCUUCAUGCUGCAUCAUCCCAUGGUGAAAGGAAACAGGGCCAGAGCACAAGAAUUAUGCUAUUGUGGCUGCUUUGAUGUCCUGAAUCGAUUUACCUUUCAUGUUCAUUUUGACUUUGGGGAAGAAUCAGAAGUUACACAGUUCCAGAUCUGGUGAAUGGGAUGGAUGAGGACACACCAACCUUUCUGUUGGAUGGCACUUGGCACUAGUAUCCACCAUAU